AUCAUUCUUCGGGGCAGGGUGUAAUUCCCUACCGGCGGUGAUGAGGCGAAAGUCUCUAAGCCCGCGAGCCUGAUAAGGGCAGGAUCUGGUGUAAUUCCAGAGCCGACAGUAUAGUCUGGAUGGGAGAAGAUGGUG
rnacentral:ncRNA from 2 species